rnacentral:rRNA from 1 species
CCCUUAGAUGUUCUGGGCCGCACGCGUGCUACACUGAACGGUUCAAUGGGUGAGGUAGUGCGAAAGCAUGACCCAAUCUCAAAAUCCGUUCGUGCUGGGGAUAGAAGCUUGCAAUUCUCCUUCUUGAACGAGGAAUACCUUGUAAGCGCGAGUCAUCAUCUCGCGCUGAAUACGCCCCUGCCCUUUGUACACACCGCCCGUCGCUCCUACCGAUUGAGUGGUCCGGUGAGGCUUCGGGAGAGCUAAAUGGAUUGUGUUUCACAAACUAUUUGGCUUGAACUUAGUCAAACCUUACUACUUAGAGGAAGGAGAAGUCGUAACA